UCACCAGCUCUCCGGCCUCCGCUGCCCUUCCCUCUCAAAAUCCGCGUCGUCGUCGUCGUCGGCCAUGGCGAGCUGCGGCUAUCACUCUCCUCAGUUCUCAGAGAUUGAAGGGUAAAUUUGCUUUGUAUUGGGAGCUUCUGUCUCGGUCUCUUAUUCACAAAUAGAAUGUGGACAAUGCCUGAAGCAAAAGAUAUCAUCAGGACAACUGGGACUGGAGAAAAUAAGAUGAAGCUUGUUUCUAGCGAUUGCAAUUCACGAAUUAUGACUGAAAUGCAAGAGCCUAAGAGCAUCAUAGGAAAAGCUCCCAAGACCCAUACUACUAUACAGUAAGUACAGUUUCAUUAUCUAUAGAGGAAAUUCUCAUUUGUGCAUGCUAGGUAGCAAUAAAGUUCGAGCAUAGAAGCAGUAAAGGCUGAAAUUAUGGACCACCUUAUGAGUGGCAAGUAUACAAGUAAGCAUUCUUAUGCUUGUUUCCUGAAUUAUGGUUGGUAGCCUAAUAACAGAACUUAUGUGAUGUACAUUCAUUUAUGCAAUACCCUUGGCUUUUCUUCAUGGGGUACCUCGUGUUUAUUACAAGGGUCGCCAAGGGGACUAUUAUGUCAUGGUAACUGAUAAUAAAUGACCUAGUUAUGGAUUUCUUUCGUAUUAUGUUUAUAUAUAUGUUGCUAUGAUCACCCCGUUAUUUGUAUAGGUGAUGGAUAUGUUGGGACCCAGUCUAUGGGAUGUUUGGAAUAAUAACUCCUAUGCAAUGUCAACAGAAAUGGUUCAUUGUAUUGCUAUUGAAGCAAUCUCUAUUUUAGAGAAGAUGCAUUCUAAAGGGUAGGCCUGCUCUUUACGCUAUGAAGAUACAGAAUCUCAAUUUAUGUAAAAGUUUGUAAACAAUUUAUGUAUCUCUCUACUAUUUUGGUGAAUGUAUUAUUUGAAUAUAAUGUGAUUUAAUA